AGCCUGAACGCUGGCGGCGUGGCUAAGACAUGCAAGUCGUACGGACCCGCAAGGGUCAGUGGCGAACGGGUGAGUAAUGAAUCGCUAAUGUGCCCCCGGACUCAGGGAUAGCUACUCGAAAGGGUAGGUAAUACCUGAUGACAUAACCUUGUCGCAUGGCAGGGUUCUCAAAGGUCCGCCGGUCUGGGAGCAGGCGAUUUCGUAUCAGCUAGUGGUGAGGUAACGGCUCACCAAGGCGACGACGCGUAGCCGGACUGAGAGGUUGGCCGGCACAGUUGGACUGAGACACUGCCCAGACCUCCGUACGGGGGCUGCAGUAACGAAUCUCCGCAAUGACACGAAGUGUGACGGAGCGACGCCG
rnacentral:rRNA from 1 species